AGGCUGUGCGGGCCAUGCUGGUCUGAGCUUCAGUUCUGACUCCAGGGAGCUCAGCAGAGGCGGCAGCAGUCCAGGAGAGUCUUCUCUGACAUCUGCAAGCAAAGCCACAAAGUCCAGGGGAGUCAACAGCAGUGGGAACACCUUACCAACGAGGGAUGGAAGCCAGUGGGUAGAAGAAUGCAUCUUUCAGGCAGUCUGUUCUGGGAGGCAUUCUGUAAGCUUCUCCGAGGUUCUGGCAGAAGCGAGACCCUCAGUAACUCACUCUACAUUGACCUUUCCUUUCCCUUGUUUCACGCCCGUUCCCUCGGCUUACUUCCCAAAUAAACAACCUGCACCCCA